CAGUCGCCGCGGUAAUACGGAGGGUGCAAGCGUUAAUCGGAAUUACUGGGCGUAAAGCGCACGCAGGCGGUUUGUUAAGUCAGAUGUGAAAUCCCCGAGCUUAACUUGGGAACUGCAUUUGAAACUGGCAAGCUAGAGUCUUGUAGAUGGGGGUAGAAUUCCAGGUGUAGCGGUGAAAUGCGUAGAGAUCUGGAGGAAUACCGGUGGCGAAGGCGGCCCCCUGGACAAAGACUGACGCUCAGGUGCGAAAGCGUGGGGAGCAAACAGGAUUAGAUACCCCUGUAGUCCCUGUCUCUUAUAA
rnacentral:rRNA from 1 species